AGUGAACGCUGGCGGUAGGCCUAACACAUGCAAGUCGAACGGCAGCACAGUAAGAGCUUGCUCUUACGGGUGGCGAGUGGCGGACGGGUGAGGAAUACAUCGGAACCUACUUUUUCGUGGGGGAUAACGUAGGGAAACUUACGCUAAUACCGCAUACGACCUACGGGUGAAAGCAGGGGAUCUUCGGACCUUGCGCGAUUGAUUGAGCCGAUGUCGGAUUAGCUAGUUGGCGGGGUAAAGGCCCACCAAGGCGACGAUCCGUAGCUGGUCUGAGAGGAUGAUCAGCCACACUGGAACUGAGACACGGUCCAGACUCCUACGGGAGGCAGCAGUGGGGAAUAUUGGACAAUGGGCGCAAGCCUGAUCCAGCCAUACCGCGUGGGUGAAGAAGGCCUUCGGGUUGUAAAGCCCUUUUGUUGGGAAAGAAAAGCAGCAGGUUAAUACCCCGCUGUUCUGACGGUACCCAAAGAAUAAGCACCGGCUAACUUCGUG
rnacentral:rRNA from 1 species